UUGCACGCUGGCGGCAUGCCUUACACCUGCAAGUCGAACGGCAGCAUGAUCUAGCUUGCUAGAUUGAUGGCGAGUGGCGAACGGGUGAGUAAUACAUCGGAACGUGCCCUGUAGUGGGGGAUAACUAGUCGAAAGAUUAGCUAAUACCGCAUACGACCUGAGGGUGAAAGUGGGGGACCGCAAGGCCUCAUGCUAUAGGAGCGGCCGAUGUCUGAUUAGCUAGUUGGUGAGGUAAAGGCUCACCAAGGCGACGAUCAGUAGCUGGUCUGAGAGGACGAUCAGCCACACUGGGACUGAGACACGGCCCAGACUCCUACGGGAGGCAGCAGUGGGGAAUUUUGGACAAUGGGCGAAAGCCUGAUCCAGCAAUGCCGCGUGUGUGAAGAAGGCCUUCGGGUUGUAAAGCACUUUUGUCCGGAAAGAAAUGGCUCUGGUUAAUACCUGGGGUCGAUGACGGUACCGGAAGAAUAAGGACCGGCUAACUACGUG
rnacentral:rRNA from 1 species